GACGAACGCUGGCGGCGUGCCUAACACAUGCAAGUCGAACGGAGAUACGAUUUCGGUUGUAUCUUAGUGGCGAACGGGUGAGUAACGCGUGAGCAACCUGACCUUUAGAGGGGGAUAACACUUGGAAACAGGUGCUAAUACCGCAUAAGACCACGACCUGACAUCAGGAUGAGGUCAAAGGAGCAAUCCGCUAAAGGAGGGGCUCGCGUCCCAUUAGAUAGAUGGCGGGGUAACGGCCCACCAUGUCGACGAUGGGUAGCCGAGCUGAGAGGCUGAUCGGCCACACUGGAACUGAGACACGGUCCAGACUCCUACGGGAGGCAGCAGUGGGGAAUAUUGGGCAAUGGGCGCAAGCCUGACCCAGCAACGCCGCGUGAGGGAAGAAGGCCUGGUUGUAACCUCUGUCCUUGGUGACGAAACAAAUAGACGGUAG
rnacentral:rRNA from 1 species